UUGAACGCUGGCGGCAUGCCUAACACAUGCAAGUCGAACGGAAACGAUGGGAGCUUGCUCCCAGGCGUCGAGUGGCGGACGGGUGAGUAAUACUUGGGAAUCUGCCCAGUAGUGGGGGACAACAUUCGGAAACGGAUGCUAAUACCGCAUACGCACUACGGUGGAAAGUGGGGGAUCUUCGGACCUCACGCUAUUGGAUGAGCCCAAGUCGGAUUAGCUUGUUGGUGAGGUAAUGGCUCACCAAGGCGACGAUCCGUAGCUGGUCUGAGAGGACGAUCAGCCACACUGGGACUGAGACACGGCCCAGACUCCUACGGGAGGCAGCAGUGGGGAAUAUUGGACAAUGGGCGCAAGCCUGAUCCAGCAAUGCCGCGUGUGUGAAGAAGGCCUGCGGGUUGUAAAGCACUUUCAGUAGAGAAGAAAAGCCUAGGGUUAAUACCCCUGAGUCUUGACGUAACCUACAGAAGAAGCACCGGCUAACUCCGUG
rnacentral:rRNA from 1 species